AUGAAACGUGGGUAAUCACUAACCAUCAUAGUGUGUUAUGACAUAUUAUAUCAUACUAUGACAGCGCAAUUUAGUAGUGAUUUACCACAGAUUAUUUUAUCUAGCAGCUGAUGGAAAUGAGUGGAGCUGUGAGGACUAGAUACAACAUGUAUUGUUGAGAGGGUGAGCUAUGAGGAGCUACAACAUGAUAUUGUUGAGAGAGUGGAGCUAUGGGACUAGAUACACACAUGAUAUUGUUGAGAGAGUGGAGCUGUGAGGACUAGAUACAACAUGAUAUUGUUGAGAGAGUGGAGCUGUGGGACUAGCUACAACAUGAUAUUGUUGAGAGAGUGGAGCUGUGGUGAGGACUAGAUACACACAUGUAUUGUUGAGAGAGUGGAGCUGUGAGGACUAGAUACAACAUGAUAUUGUUGAGAGAGUGGAGCUGUGAGGACUAGAUAUACACCUGAUAUGUUGAGAGAGUGGAGCUGUGGGACUAGAUACAACAUGAUAUUGUUGAGAGAGUGGAGCUGUGAGGACUAGAUAUACACAUGAUAUUGUUGAGAGAGUGGAGCUGUGAGGACUAGCUACAACAUGAUAUUGUUGAGAGAGUGGAGCUGUGAGGUGAGGACUAGAUACAACCUGAUAUUGUUGAGAGAUGGAGCUGUGAGGACUAGAUAUACACAUGAUAUUGUUGAGAGAGUGGAGCUUUGAGUGGGACUAGAUACAACAUGAUAUUGUUGAGGAGUGGAGCUGUGGGACUAGCUACCAC
rnacentral:lncRNA from 1 species